UGCCAGACUCCUACGGGAGGCAGCAGUGGGGAAUAUUGCACAAUGGGGGAAACCCUGAUGCAGCGACGCCGCGUGAGCGAUGAAGUAUUUCGGUAUGUAAAGCUCUAUCAGCAGGGAAGAAGAUGACGGUACCUGACUAAGAAGCCCCGGCUAACUACGUGCCAGCAGCCGCGGUAAUACGGAGGAUGCGAGCGUUAUCCGGAUUUAUUGGGUUUAAAGGGUGCGUAGGCGGAUCGUUAAGUCAGUGGUCAAAUUGGGGGCCCCACCCCCCCCCCGCCAUUGAAACUGGCGCUCUUGAGUGGAAGAGAAGUAUGCGGAAUGCGUGGUGUAGCGGUGAAAUGCAUAGAUAUCACGCAGAACCCCGAUUGCGAAGGCAGCAUGCCGGCUUCCGACUGACGCUGAAGCACGAAAGCGUGGGGAUCGAACAGGAUUAGAUACCCUAGUAC
rnacentral:rRNA from 1 species